rnacentral:misc_RNA from 1 species
CUUCUUCUUCUUCAUCUUCUUCAGCCUUCAACCUUUUGAUUAUAGCUCACUGCAUACGAAUCUCCUUCCCUACUCAUGGGUUGCUGUGAAUCUUCAUUUCUAGCUGAAACCCACCCGGAAAAAGACCACACCAGACAAUCCCACCCUCAUCAAAACAACCCAUCACCUUCUGUUCUUCUUGACCCUACUACUGGAGUCCCAUCUUUCUGUGAAUUCUCCUUCUCUGACCUCAAAGCAGCCACUAACAACUUCAGCUCUGAUAACAUCGUCUCAGAGAGCGGUGAAAAGGCCCCCAAUCUUGUAUAUAAAGGCCGCCUUCAGAACCGCCGCGGGAUCGCUGUUAAAAAGUUUACCAAGAUGGCUUGGCCCGAUCCUAAGCAGUUUGCGGAGGAGGCAUGGGGUGUGGGGAAGCUGAGGCAUAAAAUGCUGGCCAAUUUGAUAGGGUACUGCUGUGAUGGAGAUGAGAGGCUGCUUGUUGCUGAAUACAUGCCUAAUGAUACUUUGGCUAAGCAUUUAUUUCAUUGGGAAAACCAAACUAUUGAAUGGGCAAUGCGAUUAAGAGUAGCCUUCUGCAUUGCUGAAGCCUUAGAUUAUUGCAGUUCUCAGGACCGACCAUUAUACCAUGAUCUGAAUGCAUAUAGGGUUCUCUUUGAUGAGGAUGGAGAUCCACGCCUUUCGUGUUUUGGCUUGAUGAAAAAUAGUAGGGAUGGAAAAAGUUACAGCACAAAUCUUGCUUAUACACCCCCCGAAUAUCUAAGAAAUGGUAUUUCUUUUAUUUUAUUACAGAUCUUAUUGACAUGUGUGGAUUUUUUUCCCCUUUCAUUGAAUGGUCUUCCCAUGUCAUGGAGCUUGGUAUUUAUGUUUAGGGUCAGCAGUGUGGUAAUAUGUACUUUGGCUUGAAAGAAUCAUACUACUUUAAAUGCUGGUGAGGAGUGCUUUCAUGCAGAUUGAAAGAUCUAGUAGUUAACAAUGUCUGAAUAGGGGAUUUAGCAUCUGAGCUAUUAAAUUCAUAAUAUCAUAAAGAUAUAGUUUAAUGAAAAUAUUGUGCAUUCAAAUUUCUGAAUUCCAAUAGUAAUACUACCGAUUAAGAUGAGGAAGUACUUAACAUUAUAAUGGUUAUGUGCUAUGUCUAAUUGACACCUCCAAUCUUUUGUCUUAUUCAUUCAGUGACCCAUAUAAUAAAAAUGCUAGGAUUAUGGAAUUCAUAUAUUUGAGGCAUUGUGUUUUGUGUUGAUAAAGGAUCAUCUUUUUGAUGUUGAAAUUUUAAGUUGUUGACCAAAACUAUGGGAUAGAUAUAUUGAGCUAAAGUUGCAUUUGAUGAGAUAACAAAGAAUGAAAAUUAUGAGCUAAGAUAGUGUUUUGUACUCAGCUAGAUAUUAAAUAUCUUGUCAUAUACCAUUUAUUCGUUUUGUUUCUCAAGAUAUAGCUUCGUAAUUGAUUUGUAUUCAGAAUAAUUCCCAUUUUCACUGCAGUAUAUUCUUUACGUGUUUGUUUGAUUGACUACUAUUUGACUUGUAUAUUUUGCAAUGUUACUAAAUUAUGUCUGUUGUAGGAAGAGUCACUCCUGAAAGUGUUAUCUUCAGCUUUGGGACUGUCCUCUUGGAUCUUCUCAGUGGAAAGCACAUCCCUCCUAGUCAUGCCCUAGAUAUGAUACGGGGAAAAAACAUCCUUCUCUUAAUGGAUUCACAUUUGGAGGGAAACUUUUCAACUGAAGAAGCAACUGUGGUCUUUGAUCUAGCUUCAGAAUGUUUACAGUAUGAACCUAGAGAGAGGCCAAAUACAAAGGAUCUUGUUGCUACCCUUGCACCGUUGCAAAAUAAACCUGAUGUUCCAUCUUAUGUGAUGCUUGGAAUACCAAAGCAUGAGGAAGCAUCGCCUACUCCACAACACCCUCUUUCUCCAAUGGGUGAUGCCUGUUCACGGAUGGAUCUCACAGCUAUUCAUCAGAUUUUGGUAAUGACACACUACAAGGAUGAUGAAGGAACUAAUGAGUUAUCCUUCCAAGAGUGGACCCAACAGAUGAAAGAUAUGUUGGAGGCCAGAAAGCGUGGAGAUGUAGCAUUUCGUGACAAAGAUUUUAGAACUGCCAUAGAAUGUUAUUCUCAGUUCAUAGAUGUGGGAACAAUGAUUUCUCCAACUGUCUAUGCACGGCGAAGUCUAUGCCAUCUUCUAUGUGAUCAACCAGAUGCUGCCCUCCGAGAUGCAAUGCAAGCACAAUGUGUAUACCCUGAAUGGUCAACAGCAUUUUACAUGCAAGCUGUGGCUCUUGCGAAGCUGGAUAUGCACAAGGAUGCAGCUGACAUGUUGAAUGAGGCUGCUGCACUAGAAGAAAAAAGGCAACGUGGAGGGAAAGGAUCUUGAGAGGUGACUUGUGUAAUAUUCUUUUGUACUUGAUUGUUUGUGAUUGUUGUAACAAAAAUGUGGGCUUAGUGUAUUGAGGAAUUAGAAAUGUGGUUUUCAUCCUAAAUGUAACAUAGUAGGAGAGGGAGAGGGAGAGGGAGAAGGAAAGGGAGAGGGAGAGAAGGGAGAGAGAAAGGGAAAAGGAAAGAGAAAGAGAGAGGAGGACAAGAGAAAAGGAGAAACGGAGAGAAUUUACCAGUGAUGAUGAUAGUGGUGAUGAUUCCAGGGAGCAUGAUAGGAAGCGACGGAGGAGAGAUGAUAAUGACUACAGGGAGAGAGCACGUGAACAGAGCACUGGCGGCAGGUCAAACAGGCACAAGGAUGACAGUGAGGGGAGCCCAAGGAAAAGGAGUGGUGAGGAUGACACAGAUAAGAAAGAGAAGAAAACUCGAGAGGAUGAAUUAGAGGAUGAACAGAAGCGAUUGGAUGAGGAAAUAGAGAAGAGGAGAAGAAGAGUUCAGGAGUGGCAAGAGUUGAGGAGGAAAAAGGAAGAAUCCGAGAGAGACAAGCAUGGGGAAGCAGCUAAUGUAGAUAAACCCAAUACAGGUAAAACUUGGACCCUUGAAGGAGAUUCUGAUGAUGAUGAAGCACCUCCUACAGGGACAUCAGAAACAGACAUGGAACUAGAUGAAAAUUCAAAGCCUGAUAAAGAUGUUGGAGAUGCAAUGGUGGUAGACUUUAAAAAUGGGACAGCUGCUUUAGAGAAUGAUGGUGAUGAUGUUAUUGGGGAUGAGGAAAUUGAUCCAUUGGAUGCUUUCAUGAAUUCCAUGGUCUUACCUGAAGUUGAGAAGCUAAACAAUGCAGCAAUUACUCAAGCUGUUGAUGAUAAUAAAGUGGAGUUAAAGAAGAAGGACAAAAAGGAGGAAGGAAGCAAUGGAGAGCAGCUGAAGAAAGGCUCUAAUAAAUCUCUUGGGAGAAUAAUUCCUGGUGAAGAUUCUGAUUCAGAUUAUGGGGACCUUGAGAAUGAUGAAAAUUCUUUAGAUGAUGAAGAUGAUGACGAGUUCAUGAAGAGGGUGAAGAAAACGAAAGCUGAGAAGCUAUCUGUUGUUGAUCACUCGAAGAUUGAUUACAAACCUUUCCGGAAAAAUUUCUAUAUUGAAGUGAAGGAGGUAUUGAGGAUGAACCCUGAAGAGGUUGCUACUUAUAGGAAACUAUUAGAACUGAAAAUACAUGGAAAGGAUGUUCCAAAACCAGUUAAAACAUGGCACCAAACUGGACUGUCAAGUAAAAUUUUGGACACAAUAAAGAAGCUUAACUAUGAGAAGCCAAUGCCGAUUCAAGCUCAGGCGCUGCCAAUAAUUAUGAGUGGCAGAGACUGCAUAGGCAUUGCAAAAACUGGCUCUGGCAAAACCCUCGCUUUUGUGCUGCCAAUGCUGAGGCACAUCAAGGACCAGCCACCUGUGGAAGCUGGAGAUGGGCCAAUUGGGCUUAUAAUGGCGCCUACUAGGGAGCUUGUUCAACAGAUCCACAGUGACAUAAAGAAGUUUGCCAAGGUACUGGGAAUUAGAUGUGUGCCUGUAUAUGGAGGCUCUGGUGUUGCUCAACAGAUCAGUGAAUUAAAGCGGGGUACUGAGAUUGUUGUUUGCACGCCAGGUAGGAUGAUUGACAUACUUUGCACAAGUGGGGGUAAAAUUACAAAUCUGCGUAGAGUUACUUAUCUAGUAAUGGAUGAAGCUGAUAGGAUGUUUGACAUGGGCUUUGAACCUCAGAUCACUAGAAUUGUCCAGAAUAUUCGACCAGAUCGUCAGACUGUACUCUUUUCUGCUACUUUUCCUCGGCAGGUUGAGAUUUUAGCUCGAAAAGUACUGAACAAACCUGUGGAAAUUCAGGUUGGUGGGAGGAGUGUGGUGAACAAGGACAUAACUCAGUUAGUUGAGGUAAGGCCAGAAAGUGACAGGUUCUUGAGACUCCUAGAACUACUUGGUGAAUGGUAUGAGAAGGGAAAAAUUUUGAUAUUUGUCCAAUCACAGGAUAAAUGUGAUGCUUUGUUUAGGGAUUUGCUCAAGCAUGGUUAUCCUUGCCUUUCACUUCAUGGGGCUAAAGAUCAAACAGACCGUGAGUCUACCAUUUCUGAUUUCAAAAGCAAUGUAUGUAAUUUGUUGAUUGCCACAAGUGUUGCAGCCAGAGGUUUAGAUGUGAAGGAGCUUGAAAUUGUGGUCAUUUUUGAUGUCCCAAACCAUUAUGAGGAUUAUGUUCACCGUGUUGGUCGAACAGGCCGAGCUGGUCGCAAAGGCUGUGCCAUCAUAUUUAUUUUCGAGGAGAAUGCAAGAUAUGCACCAGAUCUUGUAAAAGCAUUGGAAGUCUCUGAGCAAGUUGUUCCAGAGGGCCUGAAAGCUCUUGCUGAUGGUUUUAUGGCAAAAGUUAAUCAGGGGCUUGACCAAGCCCAUGGAACUGGUUAUGGUGGAAGUGGUUUUAAAUUCAGUGAAGAGGAGGAUGAAAAGAGGAUAGCAGCAAAGAAAGCACAAGCAAAAGAAUAUGGCUUUGAGGAAGACAAGUCAGAUUCGGAAGAUGAAGAUGAAGGGGUUUGUGAGGCAGAUGGUGACAUCUCACGCCAGGCUGCCUUUGCUCAGCAGUUAGCUGCUAUUGCUGCUGCCUCCAAAGGCAUUUCAUCUUCAAUACCAAGUCCUAUCUCAGCUGCUCAAUUGCUUCCUGCUGGUGGAUUACCAGUUUCUUUGCCAGGUGUCAUGGGCCUUGCAAUUCCAUGUGCAGCUACGGUUGUGCCUGGGCCUGGACUACCUGUUGUUGGUAAUGAUAACACAAGGCAAUUGCAGCUGCCAUCAACUUGCAGCAUAACCUUGCAAAAAUCCAAGCUGAUUCAAUGCCAGAACAUUAUGAAGCAGAGCUGGAGAUAAAUGAUUUCCCGCAAAAUGCUAGGUGGAAGGUUACUCACAAGGAGACAUUCUGAAUGGACUGGUGCUGCUAUUACUACCAGGGCACAGUAUUUCCCACCUGGCCGGAUUCCAGGACCAGGAGAACGUAAGCUCUACUUGUUUAUUGAGGAACCUAGUGAAAUGUCUGUUAAGAAAGCUAAAACAGAACUAAAACGUGUUUUGGAAGACAUCACAAACCAGGCAUUAUCACUUCCUGGUGAAGCUUAACCAGGGAGAUACUCUGUUAUUUAAGUGCAAGUUAUCACAAUUUCUAUGUCAGACAUGAAUUGAAUCUCUUGUUAAAUAUUUCCUCGCCUUUUACACAUCCAGAUGCUUAAGUCAUUUUGGUUUUGAAAACUUUGAAAAUAACAAAAUGCCUUUCUUUCUUUCUAAAAUGCUUCUUGUAGAUUAUUCUCUACCUUUCCCCCCAUGUUUUGUUCUUGGAGCAUUACAUGAGACAAAACUUACAAUGAACCUUAGAACUGAUUUUUGUUGAGAAGAUUCUUUUUCCCCCUUAUUUUAUAUAUUUGUGUUUUUCAUGGUGCAAACCACAUCCUAUUAGCAAAUGUGAUGAGAAGAUUGUCUACAUCUGACCAUCCUUGGGGCCUUUAAGGGAGAGUGUGUGUUUGGUGUUAGAUUUUCAUCUCUCCUCGCCUUAUUCUUAUAUAUGUAUAUAGUAGCUUCUCAAAUUUGUUGUGCAUAUGUUAAAUAGUUGUCCAUUUCAAUUUGUUUCUUUCUUCCCCUCCUAAUUUCUUCCUUUUCUCCUUUUUUUUUUUUUUUGGGUUUGUUCUUUUCCUAUGGAUCAAGGGAUGAUUAAGCCUAUGCCUGCAUGUCCAAAAUAGUUUCUGCUCA